AUUGAACGCUGGCGGCAUGCCUUACACAUGCAAGUCGGACGAGUGGCGAACGGGUGAGUAAUGCCUCGGAAAGUGCCCGAUGAUGGGGGAUAACUGCUGGAAACGGUAGCUAAUACCGCAUACUAUCCGAUGGGCCCAGGUCGGAUUAGCUGGUGGGGGGGGUAAAGGCCCACCUAGGCGACGAUCCCUAGCGGGUCUGAGAGGAUGAUCCGCCACACUGGAACUGAGACACGGCCCAGACUCCUACGGGAGGCAGCAGUGGGGAAUUUUGGACAAUGGGCGCAAGCCUGAUCCAGCCAUGCCGCGUGUAUGAAGAAGGCCUUCGGGUUGUAAAGUACUUUUGUCGAGGAAGCGGUACCUGAAGAAUAAGCACCGGCUAACUACGUGCCAGCAGCCGCGGUAAUUC
rnacentral:rRNA from 1 species